GACAGAGGGGGCAAGCGUUGUCCGGAGUGACUGGGCGUACAGCGCGCGCAGGCGGUUGGUGACGUGCCGUGUCACAGCCCUGAGCUCAACUCAGGGUGGCCACGGUAGACGCACCGGCUGGAGGCAGGGAGAGGGAUGUGGAAUACCCGGUGGAGCGGUGAAAUGCGUAGAGAUCGGGUGGAACACCAGUGGCGAAGGCGGCUCACUGGUCCGGUACUGACGCUGAGGUGCGAAAGCGUGGGGAGCAAACAGG
rnacentral:rRNA from 1 species